rnacentral:rRNA from 1 species
UACGUAGGUGGCAAGCGUUAUCCGGAAUUAUUGGGCGUAAAGCGCGCGUAGGCGGUUUUUUAAGUCUGAAUUGAAAGCCCAUGGCUCAACCGUAGAUGGGCAUUGGAAACUGGAAAACUUGAGUGGAGAAGAGGAAAGUGGAAUUCCAAGUGUAGCGGUGAAAUGCGCAGAGAUAUGGAGGAACACCAGUGGCGAAGGCGACUUUCUGGAAUGUAACUGACGCUGAUGUACGAAAGCGUGGGGAUCAAACAGG